GUCCGGGCGACAGGAAGUGAAGCCGAAGAGAAGCGACUCCACGCUAGCUUAAGAACGUUUGAGGUGGGCAUUACUUUACUAUAAGUAUAUAGAGAUCCCCUGCGUGACGUAGGCCUCAUAUACGAAUAUAUGCAUGAUAUGUUUAACUAUUAUUCAGUUUAUGAAAUGCCCAAAUGAUAAAUGACCCUUAUGAAAUGAAAUGUUUACGAAAAUGAAAUGUUUAUGAAAUGAUUGACUGCCAAAAAUAUUUAUGUUUUAUAUGUAUCCUAUCUGUGUUGGUUCGCCAACUUUAAAGGAAAUCCAAUUGGGAUCCUAUGCUAGACAAAGGUCGCUAGCUAGGGUUAACGUGUACACUCAUGGAGACCGCGAGUCGCUUGCGACCGGUCUUGGCGUCCGUGGUAAGGAGGCCUCCUUCCCGGCGCGUGACAGAAAGGAACAGAUAUGGAUCAUAUGAAGGAAAAUGGGUCGGCCGGCCAAUCUUAUGAAAAUGAAAGAAAUGUUUUAGUAAGCGCAGGACUUUCAAGAAAACCCCUGUGUGUUACUGUUAUGGCAGUUCAAUUUAUAUAUGUAUGCAUGUUGUAUUUUCGGCAUAUGUCCACUGAGUAUUUUUAUACUCAGCCCUGCAUGUAUUUCUAAAUGUGCAGGUUGAGUAGCUGAUGGAAUGGAAUGGUGUUGAGCGGGUGUUCCUUUGAUCAUUUCAAGAAAUGUAACCUUGAGUAUACAUCUUCAUAUGUAUAUCUCACACGUUUUCCGCUGCAAAACACUUUGAUUAGGAUAACUCUAUGUUAUGAAGUUGUGACACGUGAUAUUGGAUAAACCACCUUAAUCAGUUCUCCUUUAUGUGUAUGUUUCAUAAGUAUCCAAAUGAUCAUAUAUGAUCCUAGCAUUUUAUCUAUGAGUGACAUUUUCAUAUACUUUAAUGUUAAGUAAUUGUCCAUUUCCGUUCCCACUCGUUGUUCACCCCAAGUCAUAACC
rnacentral:lncRNA from 1 species